GGUGGAAACGCCGUCUAAUACCGGAUACGACCGGCCACCUCAUGGUGGACGGUGGAAAGUUUUUCGGUCGGGGAUGGGCUCGCGGCCUAUCAGCUAGUUGGUGGGGUAAAGGCCUACCAAGGCGAUUACGGGUAGCCGGCCUGAGAGGGCGACCGGCCACACUGGGACUGAGACACGGCCCAGACUCCUGCGGGAGGCAGCAGUGGGGAAUAUUGCGCAAUGGGCGAAAGCCUGACGCAGCGACGCCGCGUGGGGGAUGACGGCCUUCGGGUUGUAAACCUCUUUUACCACCAACGCAGGCUCCCAGUUCUCUGGGGGUUGACGGUAGGUGGGGAAUAAGGACCGGCUAACUACGUGCCAGCAGCCGCGGUAAUACGUAGGGUCCGAGCGUUGUCCGGAAUUAUUGGGCGUAAAGAGCUCGUAGGCGGCGUGUCGCGUCUGCUGUGAAAGACCGGGGCUUAACUCCGGUUCUGCAGUGGAUACGGGCAUGCUAGAGGUAGGUAGGGGAGACUGGAAUUCCUGGUGUAGCGGUGAAAUGCGCAGAUAUCAGGAGGAACACCGGUGGCGAAGGCGGGUCUCUGGGCCUUACCUGACGCUGAGGAGCGAAAGCAUGGGGAGCGAACAGGAUUAGAUACCCUGGUAGUCCAUGCCGUAAACGUUGGGCGCUAGGUGUGGGGACUUUCCACGGUUUCCGCGCCGU
rnacentral:rRNA from 1 species